UUAGCUGCCCUACCAUACCUGAAAUGGAAGAAGGCAUUUGGGCAGUGAAAGUUUGGGGGCCUGAAAUAUCCCAUCUACUGGUUUGAUGCCAGAAAGGACAUUAGGCGUAAAAGCACGUUUUCUCUGCAAGCGUCCCAGAAAAACCAUGAGAGAUGGACUUGGUGCCAUCACCCCCAGCGCUGGAAAUCCAGACUGCAGGGCCUGAAAGGUGGUGCAGGUAUAAGCACUAUCACCUGCUGGCCGGCUGGUAUGAGCAAGACCCAAUAAGACCCAACAAGCAGAAUUGGGCGUGUAGAGAUACCAUCAAACUUAAGGAGCCUCUGCAAGCAUUUUGUAUCUGGACAAUCUGCCACAACCGUUGGGCCGUCGGAUAAAGCACGAACUCGCAUAUUCUCAGG